rnacentral:lncRNA from 1 species
AUGUCCAUCACUGCAGGGGCCGAGCGGGGGAGGGGGAGCCCCGCACGAGACCGAGCGGCCCGGGUGGGAGCGCCCAGUCCCGCCGCGGAUCAUGGUGCAGCAGGCCGAGAGCUUGGAAGCGGAGAGCAACCUGCCCCGGGAGGCGCUGGACACGGAGGAGGGCGAAUUCAUGGCUUGCAGCCCGGUGGCCCUGGACGAGAGCGACCCGGACUGGUGCAAGACGGCGUCGGGCCACAUCAAGCGGCCUAUGAACGCGUUCAUGGUGUGGUCCAAGAUAGAGCGCAGGAAGAUCAUGGAGCAGUCGCCGGACAUGCACAACGCCGAGAUCUCCAAGAGGCUGGGCAAGCGCUGGAAAAUGCUGAAGGACAGCGAGAAGAUCCCGUUCAUCCGGGAGGCGGAGCGGCUGCGGCUCAAGCACAUGGCCGACUACCCCGACUACAAGUACCGGCCCCGGAAAAAGCCCAAAAUGGACCCGUCGGCCAAGCCCAGCGCGGGCCAGAGCCCGGAGAAGAGCGCGGCGGGCGGCGGCGGCGGCGGGAGCGCGGGCGCGGGCGCGGCGGCGGCGGCGCCAAGACCUCCAAGGGCUCGAGCAAGAAAUGCGGCAAGCUCAAGGCCCCCGCGGCCCCGGCGGCCGGCGGCGCCAAGGCGGGCGCGGGCAAGGCGGCGCAGCCCGGGGACGGCGGCGGCGCGGGCGACGACUACGUGCUGGGCAGCCUGCGCGUGAGCGGCGCGGGCAAGACGGUCAAGUGCGUAUUCCUGGACGACGACGAGGACGACGAGGACGACGAGGACGAGCUGCAGCUGCGGAUCAAGCAGGAGGUGGACGAGGACGACGACGAGCCGCCGCCGCACGCGCAGCUCCUGCAGCCGCCGGGCCAGCAGCCGCCGCCGCCGCCGCUGCUGAGACGCUACAGCGUCGCGAAAGUGCCCGCCAGCCCCACGUUGAGCAGCGCGGCCGAGUCCCCCGAGGGCGCGAGCCUGUACGACGAGGUGCGGGCCGGCGCGGCCUCCGGCGCGGGGGGCGGCAGCCGCCUCUACUACAGCUUCAAGAACAUCACCAAGCAGCACCCGCCGCCGCUGGCGCAGCCCGCGCUGUCGCCCGCGUCCGCGCGCUCCGUGUCCACCUCCUCUUCGUCCUCCUCGUCCAGCGGCGGCGGCGGUGGCGGCGGCAGCAGCAGCAGCAGCAGCAGCGGCGGCGAGGACGCCGACGACCUGAUGUUCGACCUGAGCUUGAAUUUCUCCCAAAGCGCGCACGGCGCCGGCGACCAACAGCUGGGGGGCGGCGCGGCGGCCGGGAACCUGUCCCUGUCGCUGGUGGAUAAGGAUUUGGAUUCGUUCAGCGAGGGCAGCCUGGGCUCCCACUUCGAGUUCCCCGACUACUGCACGCCCGAGCUGAGCGAGAUGAUCGCGGGGGACUGGCUGGAGGCGAACUUCUCCGACCUGGUGUUCACGUAUUGA